AAACACCUAAAUCUUACUAAAUUUGGUUAAGCAGUUUGUAUACCACUAUUUAAGCAAUAAUUUAUUAUUAUUACUAAAAUUUAUUAAAAAUAAAAAAAGUUAAGUCAAGGUGCAGCAUAAAAUUUAGUAUGAAGUGAAUUACAUCUCUUUAAAGAGAAAUAUUUUGAAAAUGAAAUUUAGGAUUUGAAAGUAAAGUUUUAAUAGAAAGAAAAUUUGAAUUUAGCUCUAAAAUAUGUACAUAUCGCCCGUCGCUCUUUUAUGAAGAUAAGUCGUAACAAAGUUAAAGUACUGGAAAGUGCUUUA
rnacentral:rRNA from 1 species